GACGAACCGUGCGAACGUUAUUCGGAAUCACUGGGCUUAAAGCGCGUGUAGGCGGGACGGCACGUCGGUCGCUGAAAGCCCCCCGGCUCAACCGGGGAACGGGCGCCGAUACGACCGUCCUGGAGGGACGUAGGGGGACCUGGAACAUCCGGUGGAGCGGUGAAAUGCGUUGAGAUCGGAUGGAACGCCCGUGGCGAAAGCGAGGUCCUGGACGUUUUCUGACGCUGAGACGCGAAAAGCCAGGGGAGCGAACGGG
rnacentral:rRNA from 1 species